rnacentral:rRNA from 1 species
UACGGAGGGUGCAAGCGUUGCUCGGAAUCACUGGGCGUAAAGCGACCGCAGGCGGCCUGACAAGUCGGAUGUGAAAGCCCUGGGCUCAACUCAGGAAUUGCAUUCGAAACUGGUAGGCUCGAGUACGGGAGAGGGGGGUGGAAUUCCUGGUGUAGGGGUGAAAUUCGUUGAUAUCAGGAGGAACACCGGCGGCGAAGGCGGCAUCCUGGACCGGUAUUGACGCUGAGGCGCGAAAGCCAGGGGAGCAAACGGGG